GUCAGGGAAUGCUAUAAGAGAAGGUAACUGAAUUGAGCUUUGAAGGAACAAAUGUAUGAAACCCACUGGAAUCAGUAAAGAUGAUCAAGUUUUAUAGAUGCAGAAUCUUAAAAAAAAUGAAAGCUGUAGUGGCUGCCUCCACAUUGUGUUUUCAGAUGUCCCUUCCGCUGUGUGUGAGGAGAAAGAGCUCUCUGGUGUCUCUUCCUCUAAGGAUACCAGUCCUUUUGGGAUUAGGGUCCCACCCUUUUCACAUCAUUUGGCCUUAAAUACCUCUUAAAGGUCUUAAACUCAAAUACAGUCAUGUAGACUGUUCUGACUUAAGCAUAUGAAUUUUGGGGAAAACAGUUCAUACACUAUACACAUAUGCAUGCACAUAAACAUUUCUAUUUCCAUCAUCAGCCAUGGUGAACGUGCGACUUUUGAACUGAAACAUUAUAAGAGAUGAGUGAACCUAGUGUUACUUACUCCUCCACGUGCCCGCUUCCUCUAUCCUCCAAGCUCCAAAUGGCUAAAAGGAAAAUAGUUCAGAAACACCUACGAGGCAGUAAUGAAUAAGGAUGCCUGAUUUAGCUAGAAAAAAAUAGAGGGUGCCAAUUGUAUUUUAAUCUUAGACAAACAAGUAUUGCAUAAACUAUAUUAAAAGACUAUCGCUCAUCUAAAAAUCAAACUUAACAGGGAGUCCUGUGUAUUAUAUGGAUAGAAGAUUCUUUUUUUUGUCUUUGUUCUUGAUGGAAGGACUGUAGCAUUACUUUUACACUCAAAAAAGAAGUGCAGUUUUUGAUUCUGCUCAAUUCUUUAAGUCUUACAUCCUGACCAAUUCUGGGGGAUCCUCUUGCUGACUAUAUGGCAUUAAGUUCCUAUUUGAUGUUUCAUUUCAGGAAUGUCAAAUGAUGUUCUUGGUAUGGUGUCAAAUGGGUGGCUGAGUGACAGGAUGCAAACACCAUGCAAGAUAAGACACAGGUUCUAGUUUUAAUAAGCAUAUACUUCUGCAAACAUCUUGAGAGCAAUACAUGCUUAGCAGAGACCUCCAUUAGUGCUCAACAACUGUUUAGCACUGCACUGGCAGUUGAUGUCUUUGUACUUUUGAUUUUCAAUAAAGAUUGUGAUGUAGUUGAUUGUAUCCCCCCAAAAAAGCCAUGUCAAGGUCCCAGUUCUUGGUGUCUCAGAAUGUGGCUUUGCUUGGAAAUAGCAUCAUUGCAGAUACAAUUAGUUGAGAUGAGAUCAUACUAGACUAUGACGGUCCCCUACUCCAAUGUGACUGGUAUCCUUAUAAAAAGAUUGCCAUGCAGAGACAGACAUACACUGAGAAAGCACCAUGUAACAACCAAGGCAAAGAUUGUAGUUACACAGCUGCAAGCCAAGGAGCAUCAAAAAUUUCUGGUAAACCCCCAGAUACUGGGAAUAUGCAAGGAAGUGUCUCUUCAUAUGUCUGAGGGAGCAUGACCAUGCUAUAACCUUGAGUUUGGACUUCUAGCCUCCAGAAUUAUAAAGCCAUACAUUUCUGGUUUUUUUUUUUCAACAGAUUGUUAACAAUCACUUGUCAUCAGAAUAGCAGCAUAUCCAAGGUUUAAGAUGUAUCUGGGAGCCUACUUCCAUAUGUUGGGAGAGAAUCAUCAAUUGGGAGAAAAAGUCUAACCCUAUAGAAAAGAAGACACUUAAAUAUGGACAACUCAGAACUUCUUUUUCUUUCUUUUUUAAGAAAAAAAAAAGCAAUUUAGAGAAGAAAAAUUUUUUUUUCAUUUUCUUUAUAGUACUUCUUAUUUCAUUUUACUGCAACAAUUUCAAUGAGAAGUGCGAAAGGCUUUUUAUUGUCAUAUCAGAUUUACAUGGUAAAAUUUAAUGUAUUUCUUGUCAGUUUUAAACACUGGAAAUAUCAAUAAAAUGUCAAAUUAUAUUUGACUUUAAACCCAAGUGGUUAUAAAAAUGCAAUACAAAUUUACAAUCAUUUAGUCUUCUCCUUUUCCCACAAUAAAACACCCCGUUUUAUUCUUUAUGGGAAACUAAACUUAUUUUGCUCAAAGCUGGUAAUUUAUUAGAGCUUACAUCAGAUCUGAAGUGUGUUUCUCUUAGAAAUCAAUGGCAGGCCUGGAACUAGGACCAAACUUUUUAAUUAUGGCUUUGAAGUAAUGUAAUUGUGGUUUUUAAUGUGUCAUACAUCUGCUUGAAGGAUUAUAUGAGUUUGUUCAAAGUUCUGGAAGCAAUAAAGUUAAUUUUUUGGACGGUGAGCUAGCAAAGGAAUACCAGUGAUGCUAAUUGGAGUGUACAGGAUAAUAUCUCUUAAUGCAUUUUGUGAUCUAUCUCACACAAGGAACAUCUUGCCCAGAGUGUCAGCAGGAACCACAUCAAAGGGACUUGGUCGGCUUUCUGUUCCAUCAUUUCCUCCCUUUCUUUUUCCAG
ensembl:lncRNA